CAGCACAAUUCUGCACCUCUUUGUCACGUAACCAAUAAACAGUGCCAGGCUGUCAGGGGAAAGUACCCAAAAUCCCUAUCUUAGUCGAUUGCAACUUGAAAUUUAAUAACGAGGAUGAUGAAAAUAAUAAUCCAGUUUAUAGGCAUCUAACGACUUGGGUGUCACAUUCGGCAACAAGUGUCCAAUCUGAGAACAGGAAAACCGCUGUCGUUAUCUUUCACAAUGGCGACUGCGGAUUGUCUAACAGAGAGAUAAGGAAGUCAGUCCAAAGCCGACAACAGCACUCAUAAAUUGCCAGGAGCGUAAAAAAAAAGAUAACGAGUCAACUUGGCUUUUCAACAAAGCCUCCCCUUCAAAUAAAGCUGGGUUGUUAUCGUUCAUUUGACUGAAUACUCUUUCAUGAAGUCUUAAAGGUAGAACAUAACUGUACUUUGGUGGCGCUCAGUGUGCUUCAACUCCACUUUAACUAGACUGUCACCAUUCUUCUUUAGCGCUCAAAAAAACCUGCAAGGGUUAAGCAAAUAAAAUACGAAAUGGACUUUGGCGGGCUUCUGCUGGUUUUUUGCGGUUUGAUCGUUUUGGGGGCCGCCAUUGGAAUGUGCGCUAAAUGUCGCAGAGGUCGCUCGGGUGGAGUCGAUUUCGGUACCACUCCCGGAACUGUGAACACCAAAGGGUCGGAGAACAUCGUCACCGUAGAGGACGGAUAAAGGCAAACGCUGCCUAAUAAUAAAUUAGGCGAAUGUUUGACUAUUUCAUCUAUCCCUGUUCUAUCAUUGUCGUCCAUUCUGAAUUAAAUCAAAUAGCCAACCAGUCAAUUGUGAAUGCACGAAUUGCCUUUUACUAGAGAAAAAGAACCACGGACAAAUUUCUACUUUCUGAUUCAUUAUAUGAAAGGCUAUGCCUAUGAUUUUGAGUACUGAAAUAAACUACACACGUUUUAAAAUUA